rnacentral:tRNA from 1 species
GUGGCUGUAGCUCAGUUGGCUAGAGCGCCAGAUUGUGGCUCUGGAGGUCGUGGGUUCGAGACCCACCAGCCACC